GUUACCUCAUGAGGGGGUUAUGAAGGAGAAGGAUGGUAGGGAGAGAUAAUCACUGCUGUGAGGCCACUCUGGGUCUGCAGUCAGAGCCUGUUGUUGGAACCUGCAGUCACAGUCUAGCUUGCAGGCCUACUUGAAAGAAAAGCACAGUGACAGGCGUAUAACACCCAACGCUUGCUCAGGCUGUAGUUCCAGUGAGACCAUAAAUUCUGGGUGCUCUUGCACAAAAAUGGAACAGGUUGCUCUUGGUGGACCUGCUGCCAGCUGUGGUGAAAACAUUAAGAGAACUCUUGGAACAAUACAGCACAUGGAGGUUUUCCUCUUCUCUUGACAAAUGUUGUACAACAAAGACCUGCUCUGGUAAGAAA